AUGGCAACCAUACUAGAAUGUUUGCUUAGAUCAUGUGCCACUAAGUUGCAAAAUAUCAUUACUAAUGAGGUGAUACUGAUCCUAGGGGUGGAAAAAGAACUCACAAAAGUAUUGCAACGAGUAGAAUUAAUAGAGUGUUGUAUAUAUGAUGCUGAGAAAAGGACAAAAGAGCCAGCAGCUAACAGUUGGCUUGGUCAACUGAGAGAUGUUAUAUAUGAAGCUGAUGAAAUCUUGGACGUGGUUAGAUGUAAAGGAAGCAAGCUAGUUCCUGAACAUCCUUCAUCAUCAACAAACAAAUCAGCUGCAUAUAAAGUCCUUUCAGUUUCCUCUAGCUUCUGCAACAUCGUGCCACGUCAUGAUGUUGAUGUUCAGAUUAGAGCACUCAACAAGAAGAUAGAGCAGAUUACAAAGGACAAGAUAUUCGUAACAUUCAACAGCAGUACACAACCUACUGGAAAUGCUCCAACAUCUAAACUAAUAAGAAGUUCUGACCUUGUUGAGCCUAACCUUGUGGGAAAGGAGAUCUUAUAUUCUAGCAGGAAGUUGGUGGACUUAGUGCUUGCACACAAGGAAAGUAAGUCUUACAAGCUCGCUAUUGUUGGAACCGGAGGAGUUGGUAAGACGACACUAGCUCAAAAGAUAUACAAUGACCCGAAAAUAAAAGGAACCUUCAAGAUGCAUGCAUGGAUUUGUGUUUCGAAAGACUUCGAUGAAAUUAGUCUUUUGAAAGAGGUUCUUCGUAAUAUUGGUGUGCAUCGCAAGCAAGGUGAAACCAUAGCAGAGUUGCAGAGAAAGCUUGCAGAAACAAUGAAAGGCAAGAGUUUCUUUCUCGUUCUCGAUGAUGUGUGGCAGUCCAAUGUGUGGAUGGAUUUACUAAGAAUUUCAUUACAUGAAACAGUUGCUGGAGUAAUAUUGGUAACCACACGAGAUGAUCAAAUUGCCAAGAGAAUAGGUAUAGAGCAUACCCAUCGUGUUGAUCUCAUGGCAGCAGAGGUGGGAUGGGAGCUACUUUGGAAGAGCAUGCACAUUGAUGAAGAGAAAAAAGUGCAGAAUUUAAGAAACAUAGGGAUUGAGAUUGUUCGUAAAUGUGGUUGCCUUCCGCUUGCAAUCAAGGUUACAGCCAGUGCUUUGGCAUGCAAAGAUUGUACGGAGAAUGAGUGGAAAAAGUGUUUGGGCAGAUAUGCUAGCUCCCAGGGCAUGCUCUCUGAUGAAAUAGAAGGAGCUCUGUAUCUUAGCUAUGAUGAGUUACCGUAUCAUCUGAAGCAGUGUUUCCUCUAUUGUGCUUUGUAUACUGAAGAUUCUGCCAUUCUCCGUCAUGUAAUUACCAGGUUAUGGAUUGCUGAAGGCUUCAUUGAGGAGAUACAAGGCCAAAUACUAGAAGACAUAGCAGAAGAGUACUACUACGAGCUAAUCCAUCGUAACCUCCUCCAACCAGAUAAGAAUUAUUUUGACCUGGCUGGAUGCAAAAUGCAUGAUCUAUUAAGACAACUUGCUUGUAAUAUAUCAAGAGAAGAAUGUUUUGUUGGAGAUAUUGAAUCAUUAAAGGGUGAAAAUAUGUCAAAACCGAGACGUCUUACUGUUGUAUCUAAGAAGGAUAUGCUAGUGUUGCCUAGCAUGGAUAAUGUGGAAGUUAAGGUCAGGACUUUCCUAACUGUUCGUGGUCCACAUAGAAUUGAGGAUACAUUGUUCAAGAGAUUUCUGCUUCUUCGUGUUUUGGUACUGAAUUACUCACUUGUGGAAAGCAUUCCGGAUUGUAUAGGAGAACUGAUACAUCAGCGCCUACUGAAUGUAGAUUAUACUGGCAUAUCUUGUCUUCCAGAAUCCAUUGGCUCCUAA
rnacentral:rRNA from 1 species